rnacentral:rRNA from 1 species
GAUGAACGCUGGCGGCGUGCCUAAUACAUGCAAGUCGAGCGAACAGAUGAGGAGCUUGCUCCUCUGACUUUAGCGGCGGACGGGUGAGUAACACGUGGAUAACCUACCUAUAAGACUGGGAUAACUUCGGGAAACCGGAGCUAAUACCGGAUAAUAUAUUGAACCGCAUGGUUCAAUAGUGAAAGACGGUUUUGCUGUCACUUAUAGAUGGAUCCGCGCCGCAUUAGCUAGUUGGUAAGGUAACGGCUUACCAAGGCAACGAUGCGUAGCCGACCUGAGAGGGUGAUCGGCCACACUGGAACUGAGACACGGUCCAGACUCCUACGGGAGGCAGCAGUAGGGAAUCUUCCGCGAUGGGCGAAAGCCUGACGGAGCAACGCCGCGUGAGUGAUGAAGGUCUUCGGAUCGUAAAACUCUGUUAUUAGGGAAGAACAAAUGUGUAAGUAACUAUGCACGUCUUGACGGUACCUAAUCAGAAAGCCACGGCUAACUACGUG